rnacentral:rRNA from 1 species
UGGGGAAUAUUGCGCAAUGGGGGAAACCCUGACCCAGCAACGCCGCGUGAAGGAUGAAGUAUUUCGGUAUGUAAACUUCGAAAGAAUAGGAAGAAUAAAUGACGGUACUAUUUAUAAGGUCCGGCUAACUACGUGCCAGCAGCCGCGGUAAUACGUAGGGACCAAGCGUUGUUCGGAUUUACUGGGCGUAAAGGGCGCGUAGGCGGCAAUUCAAGUCAUCUGUGAAAUCUCCGGGCUUAACUCGGAACGGUCAGAUGAUACUGCUUUGCUAGAGUGCAGAAGGGGCAAUCGGAAUUCUUGGUGUAGCGGUGAAAUGCGUAGAUAUCAAGAGGAACACCUGAGGUGAAGACGGGUUGCUGGGCUGACACUGACGCUGAGGCGCGAAAGCCAGGGGAGCAAACGGGGAUUAGAUACCCCCGUAGUCCCUGAGCGGGCUGGCAAGGCGCAU